AUUUCCCCUAUACUCCUGUCCCUGCAGGAGUCGCUUACCUAUUUUAUUUUGCCUUCUCCCUCAUGCUAUCCUUAAGUUGCGUUCUUGUCACGUGUCCCUUCCACUUGUUACCUCAAGCAGCCCAUAUUGCCACCACCAACCACCAACCUCCUACAGCUGUUGUUUGGUUAUCGGGUCUGCCUUGCGAGUCAUAGUGCAUGCUAGUGCUGUUUUAUCUUGUUACCGUUAUUGUUAUCUUAUCUGUUUAUCUGUUGGGGAAUCAUAACACAUGGUUUAUGGAUAUAUUGUUGGAGAUAAUCAUGCUUUACUUAUUGUUAACAACUAAAAUGAUAAGCAGAGGCAUCUGUGAGCCCCUUUGCAAAAGCAUCGGAACUUUGACUCACUAAUGUCCCCUAGGACCCGAGUUCUUGUUAUCUGUUCCGAGACUGAGCGCUCUAACCACACGUGGGUAUGUUUCUGGGUCUCCCCUCGACCACUGCCGGAAUCUACAGCUUUGUCCAGUGGCCACAACUAGUUUGCAUGUUUUACCAUUUGUUGUUGCGUGCAUGCCAGCCUGUUACUUAUUUACUUUGGGAAGCCCCUGGGUGCCUUGUAUCCCUUGUUUCUGGUAUGCACGUAUAGGUGCGGCACGAGCGUUUAUCGCGUGCUGAAGCGGGUCAUUCGCCCCAGUGUGUGUUUUGACCCUCGGAAGUCGUGGUCGCAAAUAGCUAAGUCCGCUUCGGAGAUACGGCCGGACUUCGAUACGGGUUCAACUUGGUUAGGUGGCUUCCUGGACAUUGUUGUCGUGAAGGAGAGUGCGAGCCGUGAUAACCACCUGUCGUAAGUGGAUUGAGCGGUGCGUGUGGGUACAUUUGGGCAACCCCUGCAGGGUGUACAUCUUAUCGAUAAGCCGUGUCCGCGGUUAUGGACGACUUGAAGCUGUAUGACUCGACCAUAGACAACUUACACCUGUUGUUCAUUAAUAAUAACUUGCGUAGUAAGUUAGUACAACUUCAAUAAUAAAUGGUUAAAACUUGAUAACCGUGUGAGUGCCCUUGUAAGUACUUCCUUGCGAGGGGGGAACACAUCGGCUGUGUUAUGGUUGCAGAGUAUAGAACUGUUAGUUAUGCGCUCUCUCACCUUCUCUGAUUAGACGAAUGUUGUAGAGUGUCUCUAUAGGUUUUUAGUGCUUGCGCGCUGCCGCUUAACCCCACCAUAUUGCCUAUGACGUUCCUCUUGCGUCCUCUAAGUCCCCUGCGUGCCUCAAGUACAAAGGACGACUGGUUGACGAACGCUUAUACGUCUUGAAGUCUUGUUAAGUACGAACCCGUACUUAUUGCUGCUUCUACGGGAUAUAACCGGGCAGGUAUGAAGAUAUGUUCGAAGAAGACGACGCUAGCAAGGUUACCCUUCCGGCUUGGCCUGGGCAGGGUUAUGGACGCCAUCGUUUAUCUUCAGGACUCUUAGUCCAAAUUUGUAUCUUGUCCGUACUCGGAUGUAUUUGGUCUUCUGUAUGAUUUGGAUCUUUGUAUGUAUCUAUUUGUAUCUUGACUCGUUGGAGUCGUUGUUGUAAUAUAUCUGUAUCCCGUGGGCUCUAUUGUAAUCCUGUUGUAAUGUUACCUCUCUUGAUUGAUUCCACCCGCAUCGCGUGCAUGCUUCGGCGUGUACGAGGCGCUUGGUGGUGCGUCUCCUAAAAUCGAUAUCGUGCGGAUUUCGGCGGAUUCGCUGGGAUCCUCAUGGUACCGGUUUUGGGGCGUCACAAGUUGGUAUCAGAGCAUCAGGUUGACGGUACCCCACUAGUCCAGCCUGUAGGAUAACCUUGCUAACGGUCGUUGAGUAUAGUGUGUCAAAACCUAUUUUCAAAAAUUCGUUGGAUAGUUCUGACUAGCUCUGAUUUUCUCCUUACCUCUAUUCUUUCUCAUCUUACCUUUGCGAGUUUUGAAUCUUCUCUUAUCUGCUUCUCUGAGUCAUAGGUCUCUACGCGGGUUGGACGAUCUUUGCCCUCACCUAUUAGGUCCGAUCUUCGGAGGUUACGAUAGAAGCACAUCAUCAUCAACGGAGCAACAACUCUUGUUAGUGGUGUCGAGAAGAUCAACACCUUGACAGAAGAAGGUCCCACGCCAAGGUCGGGUGUUUGUCAACAUGGUACAAGAAGAUCCGAUAGUUUAACCAACUCCCCCUUAGGUUGACGUGGAACCUCGGGGCGAGGUUCCUUGUUAGUGGUGUCGAUUGUAGCGACCUGGAAAAUCCCUAAUAAUAGUUUUUCUUCGUUGCUUGUUUUUCCGCGUCGUUCCGGCGUCAUCAUCAUACAUGCAUCAUAUCAUCUACAUGUUUGGCCAAACUAAAAUUAUUUGAAUAAACAUUAUUUUUCCCCCUCUCGUAUGGUUCUAAAUAAAAACUCUCUCUUGUAUUCUUAUUUCAUUUAGAAAACUAGAAUCAAAGUAUUUGCAAACUUUAAAUUGUUUUUAAUCAAAAUCCAGUUUUAAAUUUCUUUUCCAAACUUUUCCUCCUUCUCUUUUUUCUUUCUUUGAUUUCUAUCUUUCUCCCGUUUAUUCUUCUCUGAUUUUGCAAAAUCCCAGCAAAUAGAGAAAUAUGCCAGAUAGCUUCCUUCCUAUCCUUUCACUGGCCGGUUCAACCUUCUCCUCUGGCUGGGGACCUUCUCAACACGCAGGAGGCGUGACCUCUACCACCGCACCCACCUGCUCUCUCCUCAAGCAAAUUCUCACCUGCUCCCCUCCUCUUUUCCCUACCUUUUUCCUUCCAGAUCGAGGCUCUCCAAGAACCCUAGCCCCCCUUUCCUCCUCUUGUUCCGCCGCCACUAAAGCUCCCUCUGUCCUUCCCCUCUUCCACGCAAAGCAGAGACACAGAGCAAACUUCAGAUAAAAUUCAGUUAAACAUCACCGGGAAAUCCUCAAGCUCGUCGUUGCCUGGAGCCACCGUUCGCCGCACCGAGCUCGUGGAUGGAACCACCGUGGUGUUCUCGUUCUCUGCGCUGAAGGUCAGGAGCGGAGGCUGCUCCUGGACGACGCCACGGACCUCGCCGUCACCGUCCUCUUCUACACCGAUGGUCACCGCUCGCCUCUACUUCCUCUUCCGCGACUCCGCCGUCGCCGUGUUGUUCCGUCUUGGACCAACACCAGGCAUUUACUUCUUCCCGGAUAGGAUCGCGAAGUGGUGAUGUGAGAUACGACGAGUUCUCCGGAUGUUCCUCGGCAAGCUCUAACAGGCAAGCAUUUCCCCUAUACUCCUGUCCCUGCAGGAGUCGCUUACCUAUUUUAUUUUGCCUUCUCCCUCAUGCUAUCCUUAAGUUGCGUUCUUGUCACGUGUCCCUUCCACUUGUUACCUCAAGCAGCCCAUAUUGCCACCACCAACCACCAACCUCCUACAGCUGUUGUUUGGUUAUCGGGUCUGCCUUGCGAGUCAUAGUGCAUGCUAGUGCUGUUUUAUCUUGUUACCGUUAUUGUUAUCUUAUCUGUUUAUCUGUUGGGGAAUCAUAACACAUGGUUUAUGGAUAUAUUGUUGGAGAUAAUCAUGCUUUACUUAUUGUUAACAACUAAAAUGAUAAGCAGAGGCAUCUGUGAGCCCCUUUGCGAAAGCAUCGGAACUUUGACUCACUAAUGUCCCCUAGGACCCGAGUUCUUGUUAUCUGUUCCGAGACUGAGCGCUCUAACCACACGUGGGUAUGUUUCUGGGUCUCCCCUCGACCACUGCCGGAAUCUACAGCUUUGUCCAGUGGCCACAACUAGUUUGCAUGUUUUACCAUUUGUUGUUGCGUGCAUGCCAGCCUGUUACUUAUUUACUUUGGGAAGCCCCUGGGUGCCUUGUAUCCCUUGUUUCUGGUAUGCACGUAUAGGUGCGGCACGAGCGUUUAUCGCGUGCUGAAGCGGGUCAUUCGCCCCAGUGUGUGUUUUGACCCUCGGAAGUCGUGGUCGCAAAUAGCCAAGUCCGCUUCGAAGAUACGGCCGGACUUCGAUACGGGUUCAACUUGGUUAGGUGGCUUCCUGGACAUUGUUGUCGUGAAGGAGAGUGCGAGCCGUGAUAACCACCUGUCGUAAGUGGAUUGAGCGGUGCGUGUGGGUACAUUUGGGCAACCCCUGCAGGGUGUACAUCUUAUCGAUAAGCCGUGUCCGCGGUUAUGGACGACUUGAAGCUGUAUGACUCGACCAUAGACAACUUACACCUGUUGUUCAUUAAUAAUAACUUGCGUAGUAAGUUAGUACAACUUCAAUAAUAAAUGGUUAAAACUUGAUAACCGUGUGAGUGCCCUUGUAAGUACUUCCUUGCGAGGGGGGAACACAUCGGCUGUGUUAUGGUUGCAGAGUAUAGAACUGUUAGUUAUGCGCUCUCUCACCUUCUCUGAUUAGACGAAUGUUGUAGAGUGUCUCUAUAGGUUUUUAGUGCUUGCGCGCUGCCGCUUAACCCCACCAUAUUGCCUAUGACGUUCCUCUUGCGUCCUCUAAGUCCCCUGCGUGCCUCAAGUACAAAGGACGACUGGUUGACGAACGCUUAUACGUCUUGAAGUCUUGUUAAGUACGAACCCGUACUUAUUGCUGCUUCUACGGGAUAUAACCGGGCAGGUAUGAAGAUAUGUUCGAAGAAGACGACGCUAGCAAGGUUACCCUUCCGGCUUGGCCUGGGCAGGGUUAUGGACGCCAUCGUUUAUCUUCAGGACUCUUAGUCCAAAUUUGUAUCUUGUCCGUACUCGGAUGUAUUUGGUCUUCUGUAUGAUUUGGAUCUUUGUAUGUAUCUAUUUGUAUCUUGACUCGUUGGAGUCGUUGUUGUAAUA